AUUGAACGCUGGCGGCAGGCCUAACACAUGCAAGUCGAGCGGAAACGGCAACAUUGACUCUUCGGAUGAUUUGUUGGACGUCGAGCGGCGGACGGGUGAGUAAUGCUUAGGAAUUUGCCCAGUCGAGGGGGAUAACUAUUGGAAACGAUAGCUAAUACCGCAUACGCCCUACGGGGGAAAAGAGGGGACCUUCGGGCCUUCUGCGAUUGGAUAAGCCUAAGUGAGAUUAGCUAGUUGGUGAGGUAAUGGCUCACCAAGGCGACGAUCUCUAGCUGGUCUGAGAGGAUGAUCAGCCACACUGGAACUGAGACACGGUCCAGACUCCUACGGGAGGCAGCAGUGGGGAAUAUUGCACAAUGGGCGCAAGCCUGAUGCAGCCAUGCCGCGUGUGUGAAGAAGGCCUUCGGGUUGUAAAGCACUUUCAGCAGUGAGGAAGGUGGUAGCGUUAAUAGCGCCA
rnacentral:rRNA from 1 species